rnacentral:rRNA from 1 species
AUGGGAGGAGGAGAGAGUGAGAAAGAACCUACCGGGCCUUUGGCCGCAACGACGACCACGUCGUCGUCAUCUGAUGCUUUGCGAUUCACCUUCUUGGCGAACUCGGCGGGGUCUAUCUCGCAGCAGUCGUCGUCCUCCUCGGCGUCGAGCCGCCCCAGUCCGAUCUCCAGUUGCGGAAGCCCAAAUGGCGCACCGGUGACCGAGGAGCCUCGUGUGGGAAUCGAAGGGACUCUGCACCAAGUCAUCAAUAUACCACUCACUAGGCUCUUCCCCAUGGAGUGCGAAGUUAUGGUGCAUGUGUUUAGGGCAUCUCCAACAGUCGUAAGGCUGGUCAUAGUGGGGAGUAACUUAGACUAG